AAUCUGCCUUCAGGAUGGGGACAACAGUUGGAAACGACUGCUAAUACCCGAUAUGCAGCGAUGUGAAAGAUUUAUCGCCUGGAGAUGAGCUCGCGUCUGAUUAGCUAGUUGGUGUGGUAAAGGCGCACCAAGGCGACGAUCAGUAGCUGGUCUGAGAGGAUGAGCAGCCACACUGGGACUGAGACACGGCCCAGACUCCUACGGGAGGCAGCAGUGGGGAAUUUUCCGCAAUGGGCGAAAGCCUGACGGAGCAAUACCGCGUGAGG
rnacentral:rRNA from 1 species